AAGUAAAAGUCGUAACAAGGUCUCCGUAGGUGAACCUGCGGAGGGAUCAUUACACAAAUAUGAAGGCGGGCUGGAACCUCUCGGGGUUACAGCCUUGCUGAAUUAUUCACCCUUGUCUUUUGCGUACUUCUUGUUUCCUUGGUGGGUUCGCCCACCACUAGGACAAACAUAAACCUUUUGUAAUUGCAAUCAGCGUCAGUAACAAAUUAAUAAUUACAACUUUCAACAACGGAUCUCUUGGUUCUGGCAUCGAUGAAGAACGCAGCGAAAUGCGAUAAGUAGUGUGAAUUGCAGAAUUCAGUGAAUCAUCGAAUCUUUGAACGCACAUUGCGCCCUUUGGUAUUCCAAAGGGCAUGCCUGUUCGAGCGUCAUUUGUACCCUCAAGCUUUGCUUGGUGUUGGGCGUCUUGUCUCUAGCUUUGCUGGAGACUCGCCUUAAAGUAAUUGGCAGCCGGCCUACUGGUUUCGGAGCGCAGCACAAGUCGCACUCUCUAUCAGCAAAGGUCUAGCAUCCAUUAAGCCUUUUUUUCAACUUUUGACCUCGGAUCAGGUAGGGAUACCCGCUGAACUUAAG
rnacentral:rRNA from 1 species